CAUCGAGACGGAAUUUCCCAGACUUUUCGCAACGUUUCGUCUUUGUUCUCCUUUGCUUCUAGUUACAUUUGAUUAAGCUUUUAAAUCUGCCUGCAAUCAUAUUUAUUCGUAAGUUCGCCUGAUUUUAAUAAUUAAGUGCGACCUCCUACAGUGAGGCCUGAGUUAUUGCCUCCAUUUCUUGGCCCUGUCAACGCGGCCAUUUCAGAGCCGUCUCCAUUGAAGGCCGUGUCAAUGAUUUGCUUGACUGGAAUGCGGCAUUUAUGCUGAGCCAUCUAUGCAAAUCUAAAUCUUCGUCUGCCCGAGGGACGGCUAACCCAUUUGCCAUUGUCAUCAGGGUGCAAAUGGAAUUUGCCUGUUAACUCUUCCAUCUGGUCACCUUUUGACCGUUUCUUUGGCAGUUGUCAACCCGUCGAAAGCGACUUAUACGGCACACCUUUCAGGUGCGAAAAAUCAAGAUAAAAGGAUAGGCUGUGCGUGCUGGAAUGGCCAAAAGUUUUAUUGUCCGGCAAUGGACUCUUGCAAUAAAUGUUGAUUUUUGUGCCUAGGAAAAAAA